CAAAUCAGAUCAGGCAGCAGACAACCCCCUGAAUUUAAGCAUA
rnacentral:rRNA from 1 species